rnacentral:rRNA from 1 species
GCCAACGUCCAUACCACGUUGAAUACACCGGUUCUCGUCCGAUCACCGAAGUUAAGCAACAUCGGGCGCGUUCAGUACUUGGAUGGGUGACCGCCUGGGAACACCGCGUGACGUUGGCC